UACAGAGGUGGCGAGCGUUGUUCGGAUUUACUGGGCGUAAAGGGUGCGUAGGUGGUUUCGUGUGUCGGAUGUGAAAUCUCACCGCUUAACAGUGAAACUGCAUUCGAAACUGCGGGACUGGAGUACAGGAUAGGAGAGCGGAAUUCUUGGUGUAGCGGUGAAAUGCGUUGAUAUCAAGAAGAACACCGGUGGCGAAGGCGGCUCUCUGGAAUGCUACUGACACUGAGGCACGAAAGUUGGGGGAG
rnacentral:rRNA from 1 species